rnacentral:misc_RNA from 1 species
UCGCGGCUUAUCACCGGCAGUCCCCCUGGAGUGCCCAACUGAAUGAUGGCAACUAGGGGCGAGGGUUGCGCUCGUUGCGGGACUUAACCCAACAUCUCACGACACGAGCUAACGACAGCCAUGCAGCACCUGUCUCCGGUCCAGCCGAACUGAAGAACUCCAUCUCUGGAGUCCGCGACCGGGAUGUCAAGGGCUGGUAAGGUUCAGCGCGUUGCGUCGAAUUAAUCCGCAUGCUCCGCCGCUUGUGCGGGCCCCCGUCAAUUCCUUUGAGUUUUAGCCUUGCGGCCGUACUCCCCAGGCGGGGAACUUAAUGCGUUAGCUGCGGCACGGACCUCGUGGAAUGAGGCCCACACCUAGUUCCCACCGUUUACGGCAUGGACUAC